rnacentral:rRNA from 1 species
UCGAGAAUUUUUCUCAAUGGGCGAAAGCCUGAAGGAGCGACGCCGCGUGGGGGAUGAAUGGCUUCGGCCCGUAAACCCCUGUCAUUUGUGAACAAAUUGCUUCACCUAACACAUGAAACAUUGAUUGUAACGGAAGAGGAAGGGACGGCUAACUCUGUGCCAGCAGCCGCGGUAAUACAGAGGUCCCAAGCGUUGUUCGGAUUCACUGGGCGUAAAGGGUGCGUAGGCGGUUUGAUAAGUCUGAUGUGAAAUCCCGCAGCUUAACUGCGGAACGGCAUUGGAAACUGUUUGACUGGAGGAAUGGAGGGGAGACUGGAAUACUUGGUGUAGCAGUGAAAUGCGUAGAUAUCAAGUGGAACACCAGUGGCGAAGGCGAGUCUCUGGACAUUUCCUGACGCUGAGGCACGAAAGCCAGGGGAGCAAACG